rnacentral:rRNA from 1 species
ACCUCAAGUGGUGACGCUGGGUGCUCAAACAUACGUAGGGUUUCAUUGAUACGUGUGUCUUCACAUCGAUCAUAUGUUUUACGCAAAUUGACCUGUGUUUUUUGCACUUUUCUAGUUGAAGCUCUAAGUGUUGCUUUUCUUGCUUUUACCACUAGUUCAGCAUCUCUAGAGUCUCUAGAUCUGCGAGGCUUAGGUGGAAGUAAUUCAUUUCCAGUUUUAUAUGCAAUAUUUACAAAGGAUGUGUAGUUUUGCUCAGACAGAGGUACAUGUAGAUUUUCAAAACGUGUCAUAACUGUAUCAUCUAUCUCUGUUGCAAGACAUUUGUCUGUUGUGACAGCUUUCCAGAAUAAUUUCCUUGAGGCGGCAUGCUUAGUGGAUCUGAGACUGAGCUUUACUGUGGUAGUCACAAUACGGUGAUCGCUACCCACUGGAUUUGAUGUAGGGUAUGCCUGACUAUCCUUUACACUAUUGCGCCAACGUUUGCGAUACAGCCAGAAAUCUAUCUUUGAGCGGUCGCCCUCUGGUGAUUUGAAUGUCCAUAAUUUGCGGUAUGGUUUCCGAAAAGAAAUGUUACCCACCGCUAGGCUGUGCUGAUCGAUAAAGGUGUUUAAAAGUAGACCAUUACGGUUUGACGUCUUAUGAAUGGAGAAACCCUUCGCUAUCUGGGCGUUCAUGUCUUCCCCAAUAAAUAACAUGGAGUGAGGAGGAAAAUGGGUUCUUCAAGACGUAGACAAAGUGCAUGAUAAAUAUGAUCGACGCUGUUCUUCGUGACGCUGACACCUCCAAAAUUAUUCAGACUGUUUUGUUAACUGAUUUUAGCAAGGCGUUUGAUAGAAUUGAUCAUACUCUUUUAAUCCGUAAACUGUUAACUUGUGGCGUACGCACUUCUAUCUUACCAUGGAUUUGUAGUUUUCUCAUUGACCGCACACAGUGUGUUCGGUACCGAGGUGUAACAUCCGGUUGGGAGAAAAGUGCAUCAGGAGUUCCACAGGGUACAAAAUUAGGGCCUGUCCUCUUUUUAGUACAUGUAAAUGAUGCGAUGCAACAAAGGCAUUGCUGCUCGGACAGGUCGGGCUCCGUCGUCGGUUUCAAGCUUGCAGUCAAUAGCUCUGCGCCAAAACAUGUCAAUUCGUUGGUUGGCGUCACCGCUUAUUUUUGGUUAUACCCUUGUGAAUAAAGCUAUAAGUACAAAACAAGUCGAUGCUAGCUGAUGGUUGGCGUCACGGGUUCAGUUUUGUAUAGAGCUCUUUAGAUACCAAGUUAAUUCAAUGUGACUAGCAGGCUGAACAGCCAGUACUCUGUCACAAAUAAAGACUUCGUCACGCAACUCAGAGCUCUGCGCCAAAAGAAGUCAAUUCGUUGGUUGGCAAAGGUGAACAGCCUCUAGUCGAUAGAACAAUGUAGGUAAGGGAAGUCGGCAAGCCGGAUCCGUAACUUCGGGAGAAGGAUUGGCUCUAAGGGCUGGGCCGGUCAGGCUGGGACCAGAAGCGAGACGGGAAUGUCCGGGGCUGUGCUUGGCCCGCUCGUCGGGUCGAGCCCGGACCUGGCGACGUAACUGACUCGAUCGUGAACGCUCUCAGCAGCUCCGGUCCGCGGUCGGGGGGUUUGCUCUCCCGCUCCGUUUCGGCCGGCGCGAAGCAGCCGACUUAGAACUGGUACGGACCAGGGGAAUCCGACUGUCUAAUUAAAACAUAGCAUUGCGAUGGCCGUCGGGCGGUGUUGACGCAAUGUGAUUUCUGCCCAGUGCUCUGAAUGUCAAAGUGAAGAAAUUCAACCAAGCGCGGGUAAACGGCGGGAGUAACUAUGACUCUCUUAAGGUAGCCAAAUGCCUCAUCAUCUAAUUAGUGACGCGCAUGAAUGGAUUAACGAGAUUCCCACUGUCCCUAUCUACUAUCUAGCGAAACCACAGCCAAGGGAACGGGCUUGGCAGAAUCAGCGGGGAAAAAAGACCCUGUUGAGCUUGACUCUAGUCCGACUCUGUGAAGGGACAUGAAAGGUGUAGCAUAGGUGUGAGGCCUUUGGGCCGUCGGUGAAAUACCACUACUCUCAUCGUUUCUUUACUUACUGGGUGAGGCGGAAAGCGAGCCCCUCGCGGGCUUUUCCUUCUGGCGUUAAGCGCACCGGCCGGCCGCGCUCGUCGCCGUCGUCAGCCGGGCGCGAUCCGCUCCCAAGACAGUGUCAGGCGGGGAGUUUGACUGGGGCGGUACAUCUGUCAAAGAGUAACGCAGGUGUCCUAAGGCGAGCUCAGCGAGGACAGAAACCUCGCGUGGAGCAAAAGGGCAAAAGCUCGCUUGAUUUUGAUUUUCAGUACGAAUACAGACCGUGAAAGCGUGGCCUAUCGAUCCUUUUGAACUUACGAGUUUUAAGCAAGAGGUGUCAGAAAGGUGUCAUGCGUUCAUAGCGACUUCGCUUUUUGAUCCUUCUAUGUCGGCUCUUCCUAUCAUUGUGAAGCAUAAUUCACCAAGCGUUGGAUUGUUCAACCACUAAUAGGGAACGUGAGCCAGGUUAGUUUUACCCUACUGAUGAAGUGUUGUUGCGAUGGCAAUCCUGCUCAGUACGAGAGGAACCGCAGGUUCAGACAUUUGGUUCAGGCGCUCGGCUGAUGAGCCGGUGGUGCGAGGCUACCAUCUGAGGGAUUAUGACUGAACGCCUCUAAGUCAGAAUCCCGCCCGGAAAGCAACGAUACGCGUGGCGCCUUCUUAUGCUUAGGUCACAUUUGAAACGGCGCCCGUUCGGCAUGUCCUCGGUGUAGACGCCGGCCGGCGUCAUGACGCCGAGCGUGCGCCGACUGUCAGGGUCACAAUUAAAUGUUCCUUUACGGCUUCCUGUCGGGGCCUGGUUGUGCUCCGGCCGGCGGCUUCUAAUUAAUAUUCAUAAGCUUUUGNNNNNNNNNNNNNNNNNNNNAAAUAACAGCAAAUUUAGAUAUUACAGUCCAGUCUGUAUGUAAC